GUGACUUCCAUUACCUAUCAGCCUCACUAAACCGUGGAAACAUGAGUGCCAACCACCAGGAAAGGACUUUGAGAUCCUGAGAGGAAAAUUGAUCAAUUAAGGGAAAGGGAGGCCUGCUGAACCAAGCACUGAAAAAC
rnacentral:lncRNA from 1 species